rnacentral:rRNA from 1 species
UACGUAGGAGGCGAGCGUUGUCCGGAUUUAUUGGGCGUAAAGAGCGUGUAGGCGGCCAGGUAGGUCCGUUGUGAAAACUCGAGGCUCAACCUCGAGACGUCGGCGGAAACCAUCUGACUAGAGUCCGGAAGAGGAGAGUGGAAUUCCUGGUGUAGCGGUGAAAUGCGCAGAUAUCAGGAAGAACACCCGUGGCUAAGGCGGCUCUCUAGUACGGUACUGACGCUGAGACGCGAAAGCGUGGGGAGCGAACAGG